rnacentral:tmRNA from 1 species
GGGGAUGUAAGUUUCGACGAGGUUGUUAACCCAUUAAGUGCUUGGGGUGGUAUGGUUGUUACACCACCAUAAUCAAAUCCGACCAUUCAAAUAGGUGCAAAUCAUUCACCUGUAUACGCUUACGCUUAAUUAAAGCUUAAGCCAUCCCGGCCUCGAUGCUCGCUAGAGGAUCCCGGGGUGUCAUUCAGCGAGCUCUAUCGCAUAAGCAGUCCUCCAUUAUGCGAUGAAAUGAAGGAGGAAUAGCCAAAGAUAAAUUUUGUUGGUCUCUACUCUUUGGUGAAACAAUAAAUCAACUACCUAAGUAAACACUUUCUGGGAAAGACCUCGGACGGCGGUUCAAUCUGCCCAUCUCCACCA